rnacentral:ncRNA from 1 species
GAAAGGCCGUUAUUCGCCAGAAGCGGCUGGGUGUUUACCGAGGCACCCCAAUUAGG